rnacentral:rRNA from 1 species
AUAGGCGAAAGCCUGACAGGGUUACUCUGAGUGGUUCCCGCUAAGGGGAUCUUUUGGCACCUCUAAAAAUGGUGCAGAAUAAGGGGUGGGCAAGCCUGGUGUCAGCCGCCGCGGUAAUACCAGCACCCCGAGUGGUCGGGACGAUUAUUGGGCCUAAAGCAUCCGUAGCCGGUCAUGCAAGUCUUCCGUUAAAUCCAGCCGCUCAACGGUUGGGCUGCGGAGGAUACUACGUGGCUAGGAGGCGGGAGAGGCAAGCGGUACUCAGUGGGUAGGGGUAAAAUCCUUUGAUCCAUUGAAGACCACCAGUGGCGAAGGCGGCUUGCCAGAACGCGCUCGACGGUGAGGGAUGAAAGCUGGGGGAGCAAACCGGAUUAGAUACCCCCGUAGUCC